UCCCGCCAAGGUGGCGACUGCGGUAGGAGGAAGGAAGUUUGGAACGCAAUUGGCCCACCACCACUAUACAUCGCAGCCUUAUUUCAGUUCAAAAUAAACUAUAUGCCCGGCACCACUAGGCAUGGAGGACAUGGAGGACAUCGACAAAAAACACUUGGUCCUGCUUCGAGAUGGAAGAACACUUAUAGGCUUUUAAAGAAGCAUCGAUCAAUUUGCUAAUUUAGUGCUACAUCAGACUGUGGAACGUAUUCAUGUGGACAAAAAAUACGGUGAUAUUCCUCAAGGGAUUUUUGUGGUCAGAGGAGAAAAUGUGGUCCUACUAGGAGAAAUAGACUUGGAAAAGGACAGUGACACACCCCUCCAACAAAUGUCUAUUGAAGAAAUCCUAGAAAAACAAAGGGUGGAACAGCAGACCAAGCUGGAAGCAGAGAAGCUGAAAGUUCAGGCUCUUCAGGAUAGAGGUCUCUCCAUUCCUCAAACAGAUACUUUUGAUGAGUAUUAAGUCUUUUGCUCAGUUGCUCUUGAAGAGCAGGGGCUAUCACUGAAUGGAAAUCACAUCCUGGUC